rnacentral:rRNA from 1 species
AUUGAACGCUGGCGGCAGGCCUAACACAUGCAAGUCGGACGGUAGCACAGAGGAGCUUGCUCCUUGGGUGACGAGUGGCGGACGGGUGAGUAAUGUCUGGGGAUCUGCCCGAUAGAGGGGGAUAACCACUGGAAACGGUGGCUAAUACCGCAUAACGUCGCAAGACCAAAGAGGGGGACCUUCGGGCCUCUCACUAUCGGAUGAACCCAGAUGGGAUUAGCUAGUAGGCGGGGUAAUGGCCCACCUAGGCGACGAUCCCUAGCUGGUCUGAGAGGAUGACCAGCCACACUGGAACUGAGACACGGUCCAGACUCCUACGGGAGGCAGCAGUGGGGAAUAUUGCACAAUGGGCGCAAGCCUGAUGCAGCCAUGCCGCGUGUAUGAAGAAGGCCUUCGGGUUGUAAAGUACUUUCAGCGGGGAGGAAGGCGGUGAGGUUAAUAACCUCGCCGAUUGACGUUACCCGCAGAAGAAGCACCGGCUAACUCCGUGCCAGCAGCCGCCGUAACAC